CAGUCGCCACGGGAAUACGAGGGGGGCAAGCGUUGUUCGGAACUAUUGGGCGUAAAGGGUGCGUAGGCGGUUUGACAAGUCUUAUGUGAAAUCUCUAGGCUCAACCCAGAGUCUGCAUGGGAAACUGUCGGGCUUGAGUAUGGGAGAGGUGAGUGGAAUUUCCGGUGUAGCGGUGAAAUGCGUAGAUAUCGGAAGGAACACCUGUGGCGAAAGCGGCUCACUGGACCAUAACUGACGCUGAUGCACGAAAGCUAGGGGAGCAAACAGGAUUAGAUACCCCUGUAGUCCCUGUCUCUUAUAC
rnacentral:rRNA from 1 species